AUGAGGAGCUGGGAUGAAAUUAAGUUCCCACCUUUCCUGACUCAGCCUGACCCUGAGUUCACCCAGUUCACCUCAAUCCGCCUGCUGAUACCAGCUAAUGGAUGUCCUGAGGAAAGCAGUGUGUCCUGCACCGUGGAAUACAACUACAACUACAACGUGAAUGUAGAGGUUCCCUGCCAAGCCAACUGUGACUGUACCUGCCCAACAUACCCAACAUGCCCAACAUGCCCAACCUGCACAACCUGCGAACCAUGCCCAACGAACUGCAAGUCCAGCAUCUUCCUGCAGCGGCCAAGCAUCAAAGACCUGCUCCUCAACUCAGAAGCCAACAUCACCUGCACACUGAAAGGCCUGAAGAACCCCGAUGGUGCCGUCUUCACCUGGUCAACCGACACGGGGAACACGGGGAACACGCCUGUGCUGCUUAGUGCCCAGGAGGACUCCUGCAGCUGCUACAGUGUGUCCAGCGUGCUGCCUGGCUGUGCAGAACUCUGGAACCAGGGCACAAAGUUCACAUGCACUGUCCAACACCCUGAGAUAGAGGGCUCACUGAAUGACACCAUCAGCAAAGACACAGGGAACAUCAUCCCACCCCAGGUGCACCUGCUGCCACCGCCGUCAGAAGAGCUGGCCCUGAACGCACUGGUGACACUGACCUGCCUGGUGCGCGGCUUCAGCCCCAAGGACGUGCUCAUCUACUGGCUGCACCUACACAAGCUGGUCCCCAAGGAAGACUUCAUCGUGUUUAAGCCCCUGCCAGAACCCAACCAGAAUUCCAGCACCUUCGCCGUGACCAGCCUGCUGCGCGUCUCGGUCGUGGAUUGGAACAACGGGGACAACUUCUCCUGCGUGGUGGGCCACGAGGGCCUGCCCAAGAACUUCACCGAGAAGACCAUCGACCGUCUGUCGGGUGACUGGGAACCCAUCCCCUGGGUGGUGCUGGAUCAAGACAGCCUGGAGGAGACCCCCGGAGACAGCCUGUGGCCCACCACCAUCACCCUCCUCACCCUCUUCCUGCUGAGCCUGUUCUACAGCACCGCACUCACUGUGACCAGCAUCCGGGGCACACCUGGCAGCAAAGAGGGACCCCAGUACUGAGGCACAGGUGUUGGUGCCUAAAGCUGUGAGCAGACACUU